GCAGAUCAAAGAACAACAUAAAUUGAGGCAAGUUUAAAAUCCCUUGCCUAGUGCACCUGAACUGCUGGUAUAAUGAAACAGGGGGAGCUAAUCUAAGGUCUACGAUGAUAUCGGAUGAUAUUCUUAGCUUUUGGAUUGGAAGAAACUAGUAUUCUGUUAUGUUAAUACCCUCUACAUGGUGCUUUCAGUACAGAAUGGGGUAUGAGUUUGUUUCAGAAGGCUAAAACUAACCUAAAUUAUGGUAAUUAGCCCCUGGACCUGUAAAAUUCCAAUUUCUCAACAGUACUGAACUUCUAACCAGUCCCGCAAUUUCUGCAGACAGACUCCUUCCAGAAACUGUUCAUUCGCAGCUAGAUAAUGCUUCUUUUCAGGAACUUUCUUUCACAAAGUGAAAUAGAAAUUGUGCAAGAGUGCUACUUCCUGGCCCUCUCUCCGUGGAUCAUUUAGCUUUCAACUUUAUACAACCAAGGACUACUUGUCCACUGGGGUCUGGACCCUCCUGUAUCAAUUAUUCAUCAAGAAAAUGUCCCACACAUUUGCUUACAGGAAAUCUGAUAGAAGCAUUUUCUCAACUGAGGUUCCCUUAUCCCAGAUAACCCUAGCAUUUGUCUACUUGACAAAAAUCUCACCAGCACAGUUACUAAACAUUUUCUGAUCUCAUGUGAGAGGGAGACUUGCAAGUCAAUUUUAGUAUGUUACAAUAAUGAAGCUUUACACGUCUCCAGAUAACACUUUUGAUUUAAUCAUUUCCCAGUGAGUGUGGUACAGUGAGAUGUUGCUGUGUAAGAAGUAGAGCUCACUUUUCAGCUUCUUACCAAUAAAUUCAAAAUAUUCUACUUCAAAAAAAAAUCAUCAGGAGAAUGAUUAAAUGUGAAAAAUCAAGUUAUAUGUCAAAUUGACUUUGAAAAAUAACUUUUAUGGAACCCUACAACUAUCUACUGUAAACUCAGUGACUCAAGAUAGCUCACAAUAUGGUACACCAAUUUCUACAUGUAAGUUAUGUCAAAAUUUAAUUGUUUUAAUAAAAACAACCUAAAAUGUACAGUAUUAAGGCAUAGUUUACAUUUUCUCAACUGAGAAAUUAUUAGUACAAUUUCAAAGUAUGGUUUUUGAUAAGUCUUAAAAAUAAUUAUUGCUUAAUACAAUAUCAUAUUAAAAACUUUAAAAAAAUCUUUAUAUCCCUAAAAUGUUCUUGUAUACUGUUUUAAAAUAAGUACUAUCAUAAACCCAAUGUUUGGUGACCAUUUGCUUACUGUGGACAAAAUCUGAUUUUCAUAGUAUCAUAUGACACAUAGUCUUCCGUUGUUAUUAUUUUUUAACAAAUAUGUUUAGAUUCAUCUAUGUCACUGUAUAUCUCAUUAGUUCAAUCGUAUGCUGGAAUUGAUUUUCCAUUACAUGGACAAGGCAAGGUUUUUCUAAUGUCUCACUAGCUAAGAAACAAUUAGAUUGCCUACUGUUUUGAAUUACUCUAAAGAAAACUACUAUGGACAUUUAUAUACUUCUUAUAUACUAAUGAAAUGUUUAAUUCUUCUUUAAAGAGAUAGAAGAGGAAUUGGUACCUUGUAUGUAAUGUUAGUUUCCUUUCCUAGAAGUAACCUUCAUUCAUACCUGUACAUUUCCUUCUCUGUGAAAGUUUUACAAACUUGAAAAUUGUUCAUAAAAUAAGAGGUAGGAUUGCAAUUAAUUGAAGGAAAACUUCUCCCAUUUUAAAGUUGUUAUUUAGUCUAUAAACAUAAUAUGCAGAAUUUACUUAGCUUUCCUUUAAGUUUCUGAAACAAUUUGUAGUUUUUAAUGCACAGUAGUGCAAUAUUUUACCGAUGUGUUUUUAUGCCAUCGUAACGGUGGUUCAAUCUCCUGUUUCAGUUGUUUACUGCUAGUGGUUAGGAAUAAGCUUGAUUUAGAUAUUAAAUUUCUUUUAGCUUGCUACCUAAUUAAUUAUGAUUUUUGUUGAGCCUCUAAAAUUUUAUAUAUGUGUUCAUUUCAUGACAUCAGUGAGAAUUAUCUAUCCUCUUUCCCAUUUAUCAUACUUUAUUUUCUUGAAGAAUCAGUAAUAAAGUGGUUCUUCUACUUGCUCGCCCAGGAAUUUGCAACACAUGAAUAUUAACAAUGAACCAGCCAGAACUUAAAUUUUCUUCAUAGGUGUCUCAGUUAUAAAUAUCUGUUUUAAAAACCCGACAGGAGUCAUUUGGUGUUUGUCAUUCAUUUGAGCUAUAAAUUUCAUCAUCUGUUAUUGUAAGAAUGUGACUGACCCCUCGUUUUGUUGCUAUAGACUUUGACAUUUACCUUGUUAUUUUAAUCCUACGUGAUGUCAGUGAUCUGGUAAUGCCACGCAUGCAUCCUCCUUCCUCGAUAAUUAGCCUGGCGGCCCUUCUGCUGGGUAGUUUUUAUCUUUCACACUUUGUGUCACAUAAAUGUUUUUGGUAAUUAUUCACUCAUUUAGAGGUCUUGUCUUUCAGUGUUUCAUUUUAUUAUUUACUUAAUUCUGCUUUGGGGGGAAUUAAACAUUUCCGUUUUCUAGUUCCUCAAAGUAAUGCUUAGCUGGAUCCAGGCUUUCAGCAAGUUCUCUUAAGUGCUGAACCAUCUCUCUAUUCCCUAGAGUGUAAUUCAAAAUACCGAGAGUGUUGGAAAACAGACCGAUAUUUAUAUUAAUAAUUCCUCAUAUUAUUUAUAUUCAUAUUUACAUAUGAAUAUAUAAACAUAUGGAAUAUGUAUGAUACUUUCUCUUUCCUAAACAUAAACAGGCAAACUAUAAAUCUAUUUCAAAGCACAAUUUAAUGAUUUCAUUUUUUAAAACAGCUUACAUACUAUGACGAAUAAGAUAAAAAAAAACUCUAAAACUUGUUUUCAUUUUCUAUAUAAACAUGUUUAUUUUGGUUUAGAAGGCAAUUAACCUGGUAGAUCACACCAUGGAAAUGAGGUUUUGUAUUGGUUGCUUCAAUGUGGGGUGUCAGAUGUCAUGCUAAUGUGUUGUUGUUUUUGUCAGUCAUGUAAGCUCCUGAAUGAGAUAAUUGUGUGACCAGAUAGAAAUCUGUGAUUCCUUCUUUGGCCUUUCAAAGAAAAUAAAAAUUAUAAUACAUGCACUUGCCUGAGUGUAUGUAUGUGUGCCUCAUGAAUAUGCAGUGCCUGUGUAGGCCAAAGAGGGCAUGAGAACAAGCACUGGACCUUCAGCUAAGGAUGCUUGUGAGCCUCAAUUAUGGGUGAUAUGAACCAGACCCCAAUUCCCAGCAAGGGCUCUUAAGGGCUGAACAAUCUCUCCAUACUCCGGAAGUAUAAUUCAAAAUAUAAAAAACAAAGUGUUAGGAAGCAAAAUAAGCUGUUUAUAUGAAUAAUACCUCAUCACAGAACAGUCUGAUGUAUGUACAUUUGCUCACAUAUAUUCAAUAUGUGUCUCACUUAUCCUGAGCAUGGAUGUAAUCUAUUUGAUAAAAAUAUGAUAACCAUGAAAUAUGGAAGUAAAAUAUCUACCUGCUCCCUUCCAUUGAGUGUGUUGUUCAAUACAGUAUGUCAAGGAACAAAACAUGUAAAAAUUUUAAGCUAUUUUUCAAAAGUGCUGGUGAGUGGGUCUUAUUAAUAAAGUAAAGAGUGAAGGUCACAGGAGCAGUGCUUUUAAGACUGGUCUCAAAUCACAAUAGUCUGGGAGUUUCUGGUUGAUGACUUGCUUUCCAGGUCAUCCUUCCUCAAAUCCUCACCUUUAUCCAUGGUAACACAUUACAUUGCCCCUCCCUGAGAUGGACUGGCUUCCUCAGUGGAAUGUUGUACAUAUCACAUACAGAUUUCCUCUUUGCAACAAAGCACAGUCUGUUGCUAUGGCAAUGACCAACAUCCUGCACCAUGUGCAACUGAGAUUAUAGGUCUCUCCUGCUAGUUGCUUUUAUUUCAAUCAAUUCUCAGAGAUCGUUUUUGUUCUUCUGCUCACUCCAAAGUCAGCAUUUAAAAAGCUUUGAUUAAUGUUUCAGACACAAAUAGUCUACUCAUGGGUUAAGUAGAGGGGCUUUCAUCUGUAUGCCUUCGCCUUUAAAGGAUUAGCCUAUGUAAGUAGUAAGUCACUGUAUGCUAAACACAUCUGCCAGUUUUUAAAAUAUGCCCAAAACUUACUCUUGUCACUGAAUUACAAUGCCAAAGCUUUAUUUUAGUAGGCUUUUAUUAAUUGAUAGAUAUAACUUGAAUUGGCAUAUGCUUGAGUUUUUUUCCCUACUGUACUGCACACUAUCAGUGUAUCACCUUGUAACCAUGAGAGAAGUUUCCUUGUGACAAUGAAUGCACGGAUGCUGUUUGACUCUCACUUUCACUACCAUGUAUGCCCAGAAGUCACCUAUAAAAUGUACAUUGUUUUAACUUAAAUAUAAGUACCACUGUGUUGUUUCUGCAGGCCCAAUAUUCAACACAAAUUAUAGUUUAAGUAACAUUGGCCAUAGAUUUCAUAAACAAAAUGAGGCAGAUAACUAUUUUGAUAGAAAUUAGGUCAUAACAUUGCUAAAUUACCAUUAAUUUUUAAUUAGAACAUUUAGACUUUUUUCACAUUAUUUAGAUUACUAUUUUUGUCACAAUCAGUCAAUGCAAAUUAUUAGCCUGUUCCAUAUACAUACGAGGUCUUAUUAGGCAACGGUGAAGCAUAAAAUUAACCACUACGGAGUUAGAGCACCACUACUUGCCCACCCCUCUCAUGCUUCAGAUUUAAUCUUGGAUUCAAUUAAAUGUCACCUGGUAAUUUUGGUUUCUAUUUAAAGCCCAGACUUCAUCUCACUGAAUAGAAUUAUUUUCUUCCUCCAACAU
rnacentral:lncRNA from 1 species